rnacentral:rRNA from 1 species
UGAUGACGAGACGCUAAGGCGUUGAAGCAGUGUACGUCAGACUUCCAAGAAAAGCUCGCAAUGUCAUAAAUGAAAAAUGCCUGUACCAUAACCGACACAGGUGGGUAGGUAGAGUAUACUAAGGGGCGCGAGAUAACUCUCUCUAAGGAACUCGGCAAAAUGACUCCGUAACUUCGGGAGAAGGAGUGCCUUAUUUAUAAGGUUGCAAUAACAAGAUCCAAGCAACUGUUUAUCAAAAACACAGGUCUCCGCUAAGUCGUAAGACGAUGUAUGGGGGCUGACGCCUGCCCAGUGCCAGAAGGUUAAAGAAGUUGGUUAGUGUAUGCGAAGCUGAUGACUGAAGCCCUGGUGAACGGCGGCCGUAACAAUAACGGUCCUAAGGUAGCGAAAUUCCUUGUCGGGUAAGUUCCGACCCGCACGAAAGGCGUAAUGAUUUGGAUACUGUCUCGGAGAGAGGCUCGGUGAAAUAGACUUGUCUGUGAAGAUGCGGACUACCUGCACCAGGACAGAAAGACCCUAUGAAGCUUUACUGUAACUUGAAAUUGGAAUUGGACUUUGCUUGCGCAGUAUAGGUGGGAAGCGUUGAAGAUAUUCUUGCGGGAGUAUUGGAGCUAUCAGUGAGAUACCACUCUUGUAAUGUUAGAUUUCUAACUUUGAACCAUAAUCUGGUCAAAGAACAGUUUCAGGUGGGCAGUUUGACUGGGGCGGUCGCCUCCCAAAUGGUAACGGAGGCGUACAAAGGUUUCCUCUGAACGGAUAGAAAUCGUAUCUAGAGUGUAAAGGCAUAAGGAAGCUUGACUGUGAGACCUACAAGUCGAGCAGGGACGAAAGUCGGUCUUAGUGAUCUGACGGUACUGAGUGGAAAGGCCGUCACUCAACGGAUAAAAGUUACUCUAGGAUAACAGGCUGAUCUCCCCCAAGAGUUCACAUCGACGGGGAGGUUUGGCACCUCGAUGUCGGCUCAUCGCAUCCUGGGGCGGUAGUACGUCCCAAGGGUUGGGCUGUUCGCCCAUGAAAGCGGUACGCGAGCUGGGUUCAGAACGUCGUGAGACAGUUCGGUCCAUAUCCGGUGUAGGCGUUAGAAUAUUGAGAGGAGCCUUCUUUAGUACGAGAGGACCGAGAAGGACACACCGCUGGUGUACCAGUUAUCGUGCCAACGGUAAACGCUGGGUAGCUAUGUGUGGAGUGGAUAACCGCUGAAAGCAUCUAAGUGGGAAGCCCACCUCAAGAUGAG